AGCAGCCGCGGUAAUUCCAGCUCCAAUAGCGUAUAUUAAAGUUGUUGCAGUUAAAAAGCUCGUAGUUGAAUUUCGGGAUCAAUAUAUUGGUCAUGCUUAGGUAUGUACUGGUAUUAUUGAUUUCUCCCUUCUGAAGAACCAUGAUGUCAUUAAUUUGAUGUCGUGGGGAAUCAGGACUGUUACUUUGAAAAAAUUAGAGUGUUUAAAGCAGGCUUUCGCUUGAAUACAUUAGCAUGGAAUAAUGAAAUAGGACGUUUGAUUCUAUUUUGUUGGUUUCUAGGAUCGACGUAAUGAUUAAUAGGGAUAGUUGGGGGGCAUUAGUAUUCAAUUGUCAGAGGUGAAAUUCUUGGAUUUAUUGAAGACUAACUACUGCGAAAGCAUUUGCCAAGGAUGUUUUCAUUAAUCAAGAACGAAAGUUGGGGGAUCGAAGACGAUCAGAUACCGUCGUAGUCUUAACCAUAAACUAUGCCGACUAGGGAUCGGAUGAUGUUAAUUUUUUAAUGACUCAUUCGGCGCCUUA
rnacentral:misc_RNA from 1 species